UUUCUAGCUGUUUCUCAAGUCAAUUUGUAUAGAAGCCAAGAGCAAAGCCCCAUAGCCCAUCCCAUAUACAUCCAGCUGCGUGAAUGUGUAAACUGUUGGGGCAGCUGAAGUAGUGGAGACACUGACACCUUGUCAAUUCUCCUACUGUUUCAGGGAAAACUCCUUCCAGAGCAAAAUUGGACUCCCCCUUCUCACUUCCAGCUGUCAAGAAUGUCUGUCAUUAGCUUCAGCAGGCAAGCCAGCACAGGAGAUUAGAGGAGCCGAAGGAGAGACAGCAAGAAACAAAUUACCAGAGUCAGAGCAAUGGAAGAGGAUGAAGAUGAGUGGAUAAUGAUGAGAGUGAAAGCAAUGAGAGAGAAGAAAAAAAUAAAUUGGCCAAAGAGAGGGAGAGACAGGCAAGUGACUAAGAAGAUUUUGCCAGUGGGAAGUGAUGAUUGGGACAAAGAGGAAGGAAGAGUCAAAGUCAUUGAUCACAAAGAUUCCAGAAAGGAAGAAUAAGACAAAUACUAUAUCUGACAGAGGGGAAUGCAGAGGAAGAAGGGUUUGGGAGCAUUGGAAAAAAAACUAGACUAAAUAUAUAGAAAAAUGAAUUUUUGAAAAGUUCUCAGAAUUGUAAAUGCCAGGUGGGCUGCGGUGGAUGCACAUGUGAGAGCCAAGCCAUGCCAGUGUUUCCUAGCAACCGUUGCAUCCACGAUGGAGUCAUUCACUGUGCAGCUGCUGUAGAACUACAACUGACACAUCAUCCUUCUAAACACCCUCCGCUUCCUCAGCCAGAGAUUCAUUAUAAAGCUGGAUGGUUGGCUGCAGCACUCAGGAAAUGAGCAACCCUAAGAGAGAUUUGGCAAACAACACAUUCCAGAAGAAACCUUUACAAACAUUUUUGUAGAAAUUAAAUCAUUUCUAAGCAGCUCUGUGCCAUUCUACAGGAAAAUGUGCUCUUAGAGUUUAAAAAAAAAUUAUAGUGAGAUUAAUUUUAUGCAAUACAAAACCAUAAUACAAAAUACAAUAUAUAACACAGAAUACUGCUGCACAUCAUUGUAAUACAAUUAUAUUGCUACUAGAUAUUAUGCCUUAAUUUAGAAAACAUAUCUAAGAGCUUUUAUACAAAAGGGCAAUGUACAAAUAAAGGACAAUUUGUUUUA